AUGUAUUUGUAGCCUACGAAUUUUCAGUAAAAUUCAUUUAGUGCAAUUUCGUGCGCUCACCCCUUGUUUUUUUUUCAGGUCGUCUCGAGCAGUAAAUGGACUCUUCAGAUGAAGAAGGCCAGGUCGCAAAAUCUGAAGCCACAGUGAGAUGAUGCUCAGGAAAAAACACCUGAUUCGAUUUUGUUCGAGACGGAGCACCAACUUCACCUUCACACCACGUUGGACCAUUCCCCCAAUGGAGGCGGAGACGAGCAAAUCAAGCACCCAAACACCACUCAUCUGAAGGAUCAUCUGCGCCAGGGUUGAAAAGUACCGGCCCGAGUCUCUGUUCCAGCUGACCAAAAUCUGGGCCCUGGCGCUGGAAAUUGUCUGUGGACCAGUACGUCAUGGACCAUGGACCGCUUCCUGGCCACUUUUGGUCCGAAUCUGCACACGCUACGCAUCAAUUACCUGCCGCUGGCGUCCGAAACCGGUGACUGGCUACAAGUGCGUCGUCUUAUGAAGCUUUGUCCUCGACUGGAAAAGCUAUAACUUUGGAAGGCGUCUUGCUCAUAGAGGAAACUGACGUGGACAACUUUCCUCAGCUUGGAGAGUUCGCGUGAAGAGUGUCAUCUAGUGAGGCCUGCGAGGUGGUGGCCAACAUCCUGACUUCGCCCUGAUUGCAGAAGGUUUGCCUGGAGGUGGCAUUCAACCUGGACGCCCUGAAGAAGGUCACUGCUCAGAUCAGGGAGAGAAAGAUCCUGAGGCAGCACAUUCUCCAGAGAGAAUUCCGCCUUUACAACUUGCAAACCAUGUCUGACCAAUUCAGCGCCUCUGCUUCUCUCGCAAAGGUUGUUUCGGCCUUUUUGCCCAGUACCUGACUGACGUCCAGGUAUCUGUGAUGGACUGCCUGCUUCCCUCUUUCCCUUUCAGUCCUUUAUUCGGUGGACUCAGGAAAGACGAGAGUUCAAGAAGUUCAACAGAAACAAGUUAAAUAAAGGAAAAACGUUAGCUUGCUUCCUGAAUAAGUUAAAUACGUAAAUAUAUUUAUUUACAAAAGAUAAUAUAAAGAUAAACUAAUAUAUUUCUUGUUCAUAUCCACAAAGUAUAGUUUAAGAAUAUUAAUUUAU